rnacentral:rRNA from 1 species
UGUCGUCAGCUCGUGUUGUGAAAUGUUGGGUUAAGUCCCGCAACGAGCGCAACCCUUAUCCUUUGUUGCCAGCGGUCCGGCCGGGAACUCAAAGGAGACUGCCAGUGAUAAACUGGAGGAAGGUGGGGAUGACGUCAAGUCAUCAUGGCCCUUACGACCAGGGCUACACACGUGCUACAAUGGCGCAUACAAAGAGAAGCGACCUCGCGAGAGCAAGCGGACCUCAUAAAGUGCGUCGUAGUCCGGAUUGGAGUCUGCAACUCGACUCCAUGAAGUCGGAAUCGCUAGUAAUCGUGGAUCAGAAUGCCACGGUGAAUACGUUCCCGGGCCUUGUACACACCGCCCGUCACACCAUGGGAGUGGGUUGCAAAAGAAGUAGGUAGCUUAACCUUCGGGAGGGCGCUUACCACUUUGUGAUUCAUGACUGGGGUGAAGUCGUAACAAG